rnacentral:lncRNA from 1 species
UUAUUUACUUUAUAAAAAAUAUAUUUAUAAAGAAGAUAUAUUUAUCUAAAAUAUAUUAUUAUUUAUAAAGAACAUAAAUGAAUCCGUUGCGUAGCACGGGUUCCUUAACUAGUAUAUAUAUAUAUUGGGAAAAAGAGUAAAGGAGGGUUUGGGAGGGUGACACGUGUCACUCUCUAGGCCUCCCAAACCCUUCUUUAAUGUAAUAAUAAUAAAAUAAUAAAAAUAAAUAAAUAAAAUAUAUAAGAAUAGAUUAUUAAUAAAAUUAAUUUUAUAAUUUUAUAGAGUUUAGAGAUGUAAAAUUUUAAAUUUUGAAGUUACAAAAUUAGAAAUAAAUAUUAUAAGUUAAAAUUUAAAUUUAGAAUUUAAAAUAUAAAAUUUAAAACUUUAAAAAUUAAAAAUAUCAAAAUUUUAAAUUUUGAUAUCAAAAUAUAAAAUUUUAUAUAUAUAUAUAUAUAUAUAUAUAGUGAGGCUACUAUGCUAUCGGAAGCACGGAGCCUUCCGUACUUCCAGCUCGUUUUCGAUGUUGCGACUUUCGAAUCGCCAAUCGGCUCCGUUAAACUUGAUCUAGAGUAUUUGAAGUACN